rnacentral:rRNA from 1 species
GGCGCCAGCAGCGGAGCAUGUGGUUUAAUUCGACGCAACGCGAAGACCUUACCAGGUCUUGACAUCCACUUAAACUUACAGAGAUGUAAGGUGUGCUUGCACAAAGUGAGACAGGUGGUGCAUGGUUGUCGUCAGCUCGUGUCGUGAGAUGUUGGGUUAAGUCCCGCAACGAGCGCAACCCUUAUCUUCAGUUACUAACGCGUGAAGGUGAGGACUCUGAAGAGACUGCCGGGGACAACUCGGAGGAAGGUGGGGACGACGUCAAAUCAUCAUGCCCCUUAUGACCUGGGCUACACACGUGCUACAAUGGCCACGACAGAGAGAAGCGAAAUCGUAAGGUAGAGCGGAACUCAAAAAAGUGGUCCCAGUUCGGAUUGUGGGCUGCAACCCGCCCACAUGAAGUCGGAGUUGCUAGUAAUCGCGGAUCAGCAUGCCGCGGUGAAUACGUUCCCGGGCCUUGUACACACCGCCCGU